rnacentral:rRNA from 1 species
GACGAACGCUGGCGGCGUGCCUAACACAUGCAAGUCGAGCGAAUGAAGUUUCUUCGGGAACGGAUUUAGCGGCGGACGGGUGAGUAACACGUGGGCAACCUGCCUCAUAGAGGGGAAUAGCCUUCCGAAAGGGAGAUUAAUACCGCAUAAGAUUGUAGUACCGCAUGGUACAGCAAUUAAAGGAGCAAUCCGCUAUGAGAUGGGCCCGCGGCGCAUUAGCUAGUUGGUGAGGUAACGGCUCACCAAGGCGACGAUGCGUAGCCGACCUGAGAGGUGAUCGGCACAUUGGGACUGAGACACGGCCCAGACUCCUACGGAGGCAGCAGUGGGGAAUAUUGCACAAUGGGGAAACCC